GUGUUGUAUGAGCCGAGAGCCGGUUAGCAUCUCCCUCGAUAAGGACGAGAAUAGACCCUGAGUCUAUCAACCACAACACGCAUGGUUAAGGCUAUGUCACUUACUUUGUGGCAUCUAACCAAUUUUUUGA